UGGGGAAUUUUGGACAAUGGGCGAAAGCCUGAUCCAGCAAUGCCGCGUGUGUGAAGAAGGCCUUCGGGUUGUAAAGCACUUUGUCCGGAAAGAAAUCCUUGGCUCUAAUACAGCCGGGGGAUGANGUACCGGAAGAAUAAGCACCGGCUAACUACGUGCCAGCAGCCGCGGUAAUACGUAGGGUGCAAGCGUUAAUCGGAAUUACUGGGCGUAAAGCGUGCGCAGGCGGUUUGCUAAGACCGAUGUGAAAUCCCCGGGCUCAACCUGGGAACUGCAUUGGUGACUGGCAGGCUAGAGNAUGGCAGAGGGGGGUAGAAUUCCACGUGUACAGUGAAAUGCGUAGAGAUGUGGAGGAAUACCGAUGGCGAAGGCGAGCCCCCUGGCCAAUACUGACGCUCAUGCACGAAGG
rnacentral:rRNA from 1 species